AACGCAUAUUGCGCUCUCUGGCAUUCCGGAGAGCAUGCCUGUUUGAGGGUAAUUAAAAGAAAUCUUUGACCUUUUAUAAGUCAAAGGAUAUGAGCAUUUCGCGUUUUUCGCGGUGGCUUGAAAUAUAUGGUUUAAUCUCAUCAAGUUGAGAUGUGUAAUAAUAAAUUAUUUCGCAAAACACUUGACGAGUUACCAAGUUUUGUAGUGUUCAACCAAGUUGGAUAUAGACAAGACAAUAAAAUUUUGACAUUGCCUCAAAUCAGGUAGGACUACCCGCUGAACUUAA
rnacentral:misc_RNA from 1 species